rnacentral:rRNA from 1 species
GACGAACGCUGGCGGCGUGCUAAACACAUGCAAGUCGAACGGUAAGGCCCUUCGGGGUACACGAGUGGCGAACGGGUGAGUAACACGUGGGUGAUCUGCCCUGCACUUCGGGAUAAGCCUGGGAAACUGGGUCUAAUACCGGAUAGGACCACUGCCUGCAUGGGUGGUGGUGGAAAGCUUUUGCGGUGUGGGAUGGGCCCGCGGCCUAUCAGCAUGUUGGUGGGGUGAUGGCCUACCAAGGCGACGACGGGUAGCCGGCCUGAGAGGGUGACCGGCCACACUGGGACUGAGAUACGGCCCAGACUCCUACGGGAGGCAGCAGUGGGGAAUAUUGCACAAUGGGCGCAAGCCUGAUGCAGCGACGCCGCGUGAGGGAUGACGGCCUUCGGGUUGUAAACCUCUUUCAGCACCGACGAAGCGCAAGUGACGGUAGGCGCAGAAAAAGGACCGGCCAACUACGUGCCAGCCGCCGCCGUAA